UGGGGAAUUUUGGACAAUGGGCGAAAGCCUGAUCCAGCAAUGCCGCGUGUGUGAAGAAGGCCUUCGGGUUGUAAAGCACUUUUGUCCGGAAAGAAAUCCUUGGCUCUAAUACAGUCGGGGGAUGACGGUACCGGAAGAAUAAGCACCGGCUAACUACGUGCCAGCAGCCGCGGUAAUACGUAGGGUGCAAGCGUUAAUCGGAAUUACUGGGCGUAAGGCGUGCGCAGGCGGUUUGCUAAGACCGAUGUGAAAUCCCCGGGCUCAACCUGGGAACUGCAUUGGUGACUGGCAGGCUAGAGUAUGGCAGAGGGGGGUAGAAUUCCACGUGUAGCAGUGAAAUGCGUAGAGAUGUGGAGGAAUACCGAUGGCGAAGGCAGCCCCCUGGGCCAAUACUGACGCUCAUGCACGAAAGCGUGGGGAGCAAACAGGAUUAGAUACCCUGGUAGUCCACGCCCUAAACGAUGUCAACUAGUUGUUGGGGAUUCAUUUCCUUAGUAACGUAGCUAACGCGUGAAGUUGACCGCCUGGGGAGUACGGUCGCAAGAUUAAAACUCAAAUGAAUUGACGGGGU
rnacentral:rRNA from 1 species